AUCUUUAAAGCUUAAAGCUUUUCACUUACACUGAAAAAAAUCUAACUUAAUAAC
rnacentral:tRNA from 1 species